ensembl:lncRNA
GCCAGAGAGAGCAUGUCUGCUAGAAUUGCAGACAGCUCACUGAGGAUGGUAACUUGGAAGGCAUCUUUCCAGAUGGCAGUCCACGUUUGACUGGCAGAGGGUUUUGUAUGUUCAGUUGAUGGUGACAUUACACAGACCGGGAACUCUUCAUACAGCAACAUUAUCUUUAUGGCUGUUUUGUUCUUUAGUGUUUCAUAGCCAACUUCAUGUCAUGCAGGACAAUAUAAUGUACACUUUUUGAGCUCACAUUGCUCUUCAAAGAUUUCCUGCGGAGAUGAAAGUAAACUAGAGAAUUUAGUUUUAUUGUGUAUCAUUUUGACCCAUUCAAUUAUAAUCAUUUUUAUUACCGCUCAAACUCUGAUUUACGAAAGGAAGACGUGCGAUUAACAGGCUGUAAUAAAUUCCUCACCCCUCUUUGGUUCCGUACUCUUGAGUUUCUCCCGCUGUAUCUGACCUCAUGCUUUACGCAGUGCGGUCGUCGAGUUGAUAAUCCGUGUCAGUAAUCUCUUUUAACAAUUUAUUUCAGAAAGACAGAUCAAACACACCAUUUCCCCUGACGUGGAGUACAGACCGAUCGAGUCCUGUAGUUGAGUUAUAUUUGACUUUUUAUCAGCACACCUUGGUGACGCCAGUCAAUCAGCUACAUCACCUUUCACAUGCUCGUGCAUCAUCAACAAAGACGAAUGGUGAGACUGAUAGUCGGCUUCAUUUUCAAGUCUUGUGUUGUUGUUAGGGUGUUUGACACCUGAGGUCUGCCACUAUGCAGCCUGGAGGAGCACACAAUGCUGUGUGUGGCCAGAGCCUGCUGUCCAACUCCCUUAGGGUGUAUCUGAACAACAAGAACAGACUGCAGCCCAUAAUCGGUCUGGGCUGUGUGACAGAGUGUGUGACACUCGGCUUGGACUCUGAGGCGGUGUACCUGUGUGAGGUGUGUGUGUGUCGUCUCAGUAAGGCUGAUGUCAGGAGCCACAUCAUGGGGAGUCUCCACCGAUACAACUACAUUGUGAGUGUGGGAUGUGUGUUUCUGGAUCUGUGCUCUUUACUCACAAGCUACUUAAUGAUUCUGAUGUCUUAUUGUAAUACCUGUACGGUUAAACCACACCUCCUUACACCAGGGUUUCUCAAUCCUUGUCCCAGGGACACAAAGGGGUGCAUUUUUUUUUUGUGCCCUAGCAUUAACACACCACGUUCUUAUCAAAGGCUUGAUGAUUAAUUUUUUUAAAUCUGGUGUUUUAGUGCUAGGACAAAAACAAAAAUGCGCACCCCGUUGGGGAAUGCAACACACUGCUCUACACAAUCACUGACCUACAACUAGCCUAAUACAGCUGCAUGUAUACCAGUAUACCAGUUGUGUGUUUCCUCUCUCCUGUGGCUGUCGUUGUAUAGAAAGUCCAUCACCCUCACUUUGUGUCAGAGUGGAAGCAGAGUCCUCCUGACCUGUCCAAGCUGGCCCGGCCUCUUAUGGAGAUGGCUCAAAUACUAGAGAAGAGAGAAGGAACCGGGGACGUACAGGUAUGUGUGUGUCUGUGCAUGCUGGGGUGAUGUUUGUGUGUGCGUGCAAAUCUCCUCUGUCCUGUCUUUCUGUUAGGUGCUGAAGUUGGAUGCUGCCAUGUAUGACGAUAUGACAACACACAGCGAGAGUGAUGCUCUCAUCCUCUUGCAUGCCACCAGGACUGGGAGGGAGCAGAGAGAUCUUCAGAGCCAAUCAGUGAAGCAAUCAGUCCAGUCGGAGUAUCUUACCAUCCAGUCACAGAGAACUGUGAUAUCGCCUCGGAGGCUCUCCGUCCAACCAGAGAGGCCUGUUGUCCAGCUUGACAACCGAACCGUCCUAUGGAGGAGUCCGACCACCCAGAGUCGGAACUCAUCUAGCCAAUCGGAGAAGUCCCCUGUGUUGCAGCAGAGUGUCUCUAUCCAAUCACGGCUUAGUUCGUUGGAGGAGGAGUUUCUCCAUGGAAGCAAGCCACUGGUUGGUGCUUCACUGAAGCGUCCUGCCUCAUCAUGGCAGCAUGACCCCUCUCUUUCCCCGACCCCAAAUGUCACAGCUGGAAGUCAGACGUCUCUGGGCGGGCCUGAGGGGAAGGGGGCGGGACUGCAGGGGGUUCCUGCAAAGCUGAUUCGCUGUGAGCCGGUGUUCAAGGUCAGUCUAUCUAUGACGGACGGCCCCUGGCUGUUGGAGAGGAACUCCUUCAGCCUGGAAACCUCCCCCUCCUCCCUCAGACACGCCUCACCCCUUCACUCCCCCACCGUAGAUGCCUCACUCCAACCCUCUCCCGAUCCCUCACGUUUGCUUGGCCAGCCGGGAAACUCAGUUGCCGCAAGACUCGGAAACACACAUGAAAAUACACACACUCCGGGACUGAGACGCACUCCGGGACAUGCACACACUUCAACUAUGAGACUGAGCCCAGCCAUACCUGAUGAGCAGCUGACUAUGGGAGACGAGGACACAGAGAAAGACCGUCUGUAUCUCGGAGGGGAACAGAGGUUCACCGACUAUGCUUUGUACGAUGGCAGAGAGAAAAACACAACUGACCUGGUUUACCUCAGGAGAGAGCAGGACCGAACUGACCAUCUGUAUUCAGAAAAUAACCGACUCACUGACACAAAGUUCCAUGUCCGAGUGGGGCAGAACAACCGACAAGGCAGUAUUUACCCCGGUCUAGCCUGUGCCAGAGACAUCACUGACACAGCGUCUGUUGCCGGGCCGAUUCUCUUCACUACCGGCUGUCUCUUGAAGGAGAGCUUGACAGACACUCCUCUAAUGGAAGAAGAACAGGAGGAGGAGAGGGGGAAUGAGUGUCAUUCUGGGGCACAGAGGCUUGCAGAGGAUGACAGGACAACUGACAGUCUGUACUCUACUGGAGAGAGGAUAACAGACAGUGGGUUUUCCACAGGAAGCAGGUCAAAUGACAAAAUGUACCAAACAGGAGAACGAUCAACUGACAAUCAGUCUUUUACAACAGAAGUGACAACUGACUGUUGGUAUGCUACAGGAGAGGAGCUAACUGACCGUCAGUUGAUGGAGGAAGAGGAGCGAUGCAGAGCUGAAAUUCAGAAUGGAGUUGGGCUCAUCGUGGAGGUCAUGGUGGAGGAGGGGGAGAGAGAGGAAGGAAAGGAUGGAGAGAGGGAGGAGAACUCAGACUUUUACCACCAACAGUAUUUGCAAGGCCAGCCUCUACAACGGCACCAGGCGCAGGGGUUCACAGGAACUCAUAGGGGCGCCGUAGGGCUUCAUAUGGUUGACACAGCAGAUCUCAGACAUGACAUAGCCCUUCAUAGAGAUCAGGCAGGGCCAGCCCUUCACCGAGAAGAGAUGAGCAGUCGUAUGGGUGACAUAGCAGCUAUGCAGCAGGUGCAGUUAUGUGAGGCUGAGUACAGAGAAGCAUGGGCCUAUGGAGGCACACAGCUGACCCCUGACACCUAUAGAUCAGGUCCGCAGGAGUAUGAGACUGACCCUGGCUCCUACCUGCCAUUCCCAGAGGGCCACAGAAUAAACUGUGACCCCCACCAAGUGGUUUCUGAUUGGUUUAGAACCACCCCUGGCCCGCACUUCGUUCACUCUAACCCUGACGAGUUUACACCCCAGGUCCUCCCGUACCCCCACAAUACAAUGCCCCAGGGGUUUGGACCCAAUCCCCACUCUGGUCCCUUCCCCAUGAAGAUGAGGGGCGUGCAGUCACAGGAGUACAGAAGGCUCCCCAGCCCCCCAUUUGUUAUGGUGUCUAGACCCUGCCACCCUCAGCCCUUCUUUCCAGGACAUGAAGGCUUUCUGUCCCCCCGGCACAGCCCAGCCUUACCUCCCAGCCCUCCCCACUACAGAGGAGCCUACUUGGGCCACAGCCCUGCCCGGAGUCCCUGGGCAGGACCAGGACCUCCCUGGGUCUAAUUACCACACACCAUACAUAAAUCCACCAGGAUAGUUAUUUGUGGCACUUUAGACACUGUUGUUUUAAAUGGACAGGUGUUUUGUGUGUUUUAUACACUCUAGGUUCUAUUGUUUUUAUAGCUGUCUUAAACCAACAGUAUCCCAUCCAUUGUAUAAGUGCUGAUUUUAGGUACUUCCCCUGUAUGAUGUCAUGAAAUCUCAUUGACAACUGGCAACGAUUCAACUCACCGGUUCAAUUCUGUUACCAAUUCAGAUUUAUACAAGACUUGUUUGUUUUAAGUUGUUUGUCUUCUACCGUCGAAUCAAGAUGGAGCUGAGAUGGAUAAAUAGACAACACGUUGAACACUGGCUAAAUUUUAUAAUAUGAACUCAGUUUGUGAAAUAUCUAUUUUUCAACAACAAAUAUUUUGGUUAAUGCAAAAAAAAAUCUAUGGUUAUAUUAACAUUAAGGUUUAUUUUACACAAUAAGGGGGAUCAAUUAGGGGUUCAACAUUGACCUUUCCAGAACUGUCUAGAAGGAGGCGCUGUAUUAGUUUUCAGUUCGACCAGCUGAGGGAAGCAGAGCUGAAUAAGUUGUUUAAAAUGAUGUUCAGAAACACAACACUUGUUAAAAUAAACAGUUUUAUGUUUAAAUGCUUUUUAUAUUUGCCAUGUGUGCUUCCCUCAUGAAGUUGGGUUUAUUUCAGUGUAACAACAGCUUUGGCCAGUGUUAUACUUUGACUUUGGUUCACACACCUUUACAUUGGCUUAACUGAGUAGAUCUGAUUCCAUUUGUUGAAUUAUUAGUGUUAAUUUGAAGAUUAUUCCCCCAAAAUGUUUAUGUGCAGCAGGUACGACAGACUUGGAUUCGCCUCUUCCUAUAGGCAGACUACGCGCUGCCCUUUUCUUUUUCAAGGAACUGUUGGGUCUCAACUCACUUUUGAAAAGUAGAAUACACCAGGUGCAAUUUUGACAUUUUGUUGUGUAUCAGUAGUUUCCCACUUAUGACAGUCGCUCAAUGAGACCAUGUCAGCAAAACAUUUUAAGAUUGCUAGGUAAGGUAGUUGAGCCAGGGCCCUGACCUCCAGGGGGGCCUCCAUUGGUUUUGUAAUUUUGUCACUCUUUCACAGACACUCAUAUAUAUAUAUAUAUAUAUAUACACACACACACAAGUAUAUGUGGAUUUGUCUAUUUCAGCCACACCUGUUGCUGACAGGUGUUUAAAAUCGAGCACACAGCCAUUCAAUCUCCAUAGACAAACAUUCGCAGUAGAAUGGCCUUACUGAAGAGCUCAGUUACUUUCAACGGGGCACUGUCAUAGGGUUCCACAUUCUCCAACAAGUCAGUUUGUCUAGAGCUACUCGGUCAAUUGUUAUUGUGAAGUGGAAACGUCUUGGAGAAACAACAGCUCGGCUGCGAAGUGGUAGGCCACACAAGCUCACAGAACGGGACCGCCGAGUGCUGUAGAGCACAAAGAUUGUCUGUCCCCUGUUGCAACACUCACUACAGAGUUCCAAACUGGAGGAGGAGGGGGGGUUCUAAAAGGCUAGAGGCAGCACUGGAAAGGCUACUCAGCAAGUGGCAUUGAACUUUAUUUUUUUGGUCAGUUUUGUCUCCCCCACUGCCCAAUGUCAAUUUGUGGGCAUGAUACAACUUGUCAAGCAGGUCUAUAAUAUGGUUAAUGUAGCACAGCUGGAUUCAAGUUGUUUUUUUUAACCUGUUUUUCCAUUGAGUCAAUGCUGUAUUCAAGCGUCUCAUACUAGUUUAUUUUUUUAUUUGCUGCUGUAUUUGAGUACAUUAUGGCCUUCAGGCUAAUAAAGUCACAGUAUCCAUUGAUCUCCUGCUCCAGUCAUCUCCAGCCAUGCAGUGGCUCCCAAUUUAUUAUUUUUUACCAAAGACAAACCAAAUCUUACAUGAGGUCAUUGUCAUUUUGUAGUAAUGCCUGUUUUUUGAUCUUAUGAAUUUCUGACCUUGGAAAACCCUUAGAGGGUUGCGAAACAAAACACUGAUCUACUAAUAUCUUCCAUAACAUUAUCCAGCUGUCAUGUGAAGGCUUGAGAAGGAAGUACUGCACACACCUCAACGUUGCAGCAUAAUCUACUUUAUUGAAUCUGGUUGUUCUCAGUAAUGUUAUUUACAUAUUGAAAUAGUGCAAACAAGUAAGGAAGCCAGAUAAAUGAGACAGUCCUCUAGCAAACAAGUAAGGAAGCCAGAUAAAUGAGACAGUCCUCUAGCAAACAAGUAAGGAAGCCAGAUAAAUGAGACAGUCCUCUAGCAAACAAGUAAGGAAGCCAGAUAAAUGAGACAGUCCUCUAGCAAACAAGUAAGGAAGCCAGAUAAAUGAGACAGUCCUCUAGCAAACAAGUAAGGAAGCCAGAUAAAUGAAACAGUCCUCUAGCAAACAAGUAAGGAAGCCAGAUAAAUGAGACAGUCCACUAGCAAACAAGUAAGCUAGAUAAAUGAGACAGUCCUCUACCAAACAAGGAAGCUAGAUAAAUGAGACAGUCCUCUAGCAAACAAGGAAGCCAGAUAAAUGAGACAGUCCACUAGGUGUCACCCUAUUACAAGUUCACUGAACGUGUGUGGAAGACAUUGCAUUUCCAGUCACGAAAACACAGCAAACUAUCAAACCUUUGAAGUCAACAUUUACUAUUUUCAUAUGUAUUACCUUAACCUUGU